GAUGGAGGUAUGAGACAGAGGGAAGGUUAGUCGAGCUCUGGGAACAACAUCCCUGCCUUCAUGACAUGUCAGGAGGGACGGCAAUGACAGACACACUGCUGCAACCUGGGGCGCCACCAGGGAUUUUGGGCCCCGUGAAAAAAGAUCACAUUGGGCCCCAUCACCAAAGGCCACAAGAGCCCUCCAGGAUCCACUCGACCCAGUCGAAGCUUACAUACCCUUCAUACCUUUUCAGCUGUCUUGCCUCUUGGAGUCAAAUAUUUACUGUAUGACUGGCAAAAAUGAAGGAUUCCCUGCACA